AUCCGAUUUUAACUGCAAGGGUAUAUCAAAUUUGGCUCCGCCCAUGUAAGCUUUCCCUUCUUUUUUAAUUUAAGAACCACAACCUGGUAAAACAAACUUUUGAAUUUAAUGUCAAGCCGAACUAAUUAAAAAUGCUUAAAUAAAGUUUUCAAACAGUCUAUAUAAGCAAACCAUUUAGAAUUAGACUUUCAUAACAAGAUCAGCCCCUUCAAUAUGAGGCUUCCAACGUUCUUUGCUACAUUUCUAUUGUUUGCAGUCUGUAUAGGACUGGGUGUGGCGUCACCACCGAAAAAUGAUGAAAAUCCACCCAAAAAUGAUCCUUAUCCAAAACCAUUCAGAUCUUCCCAGUACAACCCACCACCGUACACUAGAGGUCUUUAAGAAGACAUUCUCCUUAAGAUGAGGUUUUCAGUGCUGCGUUCUUCCUUUUUUUCGUUAGUUUUUCACUUAUAACUUGCGAUUUUUUUUAUAAAAUAUCAUUGUAACUACAA